rnacentral:tRNA from 1 species
GGGGUUGUGGCUCAGUGGUAGAGCGCUCGCCUAGCACAUGCGAGGCUGAGUUUGAUUCUCAGCACCA